rnacentral:rRNA from 1 species
UUGUUUGGAGAGUUUGAUCCUGGCUCAGGACGAACGCUGGCGGCGUGCUUAACACAUGCAAGUCGAACGGAAAGGCCCUUCGGGGUGCUCGAGUGGCGAACGGGUGAGUAACACGUGGGUGAUCUGCCCUGCACUUUGGGAUAAGCCUGGGAAACUGGGUCUAAUAC